rnacentral:lncRNA from 1 species
UCUCCAUUUUUGGUAUUGGUAUUAAUAUUGGUAUAUUUGUAUUAUUCGAAGUCUCCAUAUCCAAGACUGCUAAUUCUUCUACUAACUUCAAAAUAAAUAAUUGAUACAAACAUUUUUUCCCUCUAAUUUUUUUAAAAAGAAUCCUAGCAUUGAUGGCUGCAUAUCCUAACUGUUGCUCCACACAAGGAACGACCAAAGUUCCGUUCCAGCAAUUCUUGUAUCAAUUACUACUAAAAGAAAAGGAUUAGAGAUAAUGUGAAGGAUUAGGAUGGCCAAUAAAUGUGUAGCUGUUGGUUGCAGGAGUGGUUACCGCCAAACAAAAAGAAAAUCCGCUGGUCGAUAAACCAAUUUUUUAUUCCAUAGGUCCCCAAAAAUCCGACUCUUAGAGAGAAAUGGUAAAAAGUGUUCAUAGUCACAAUUAGACCCCAUCAUCACAUUCAGUCCUCUGCAGCGAGCAUUUCAACUUAAAUGGUUAUGAGAACGUCCCAAUAACAGAUGGAAAUAAAUUAUCCAAUAAACUUAAUAAAAGUGUUAUUCCUUCAAGGUUUAAUCACCAAAGAUAAAUAAAAUUUGAUCUGAAAGAGCAACUGCAUCAGCCAGGCAUCAGUCAAAUCAAGCAAAUGAAUCAUAAGAUUCAAGAAUUCUUCGAACAUGACAAGAUUAUUGGUUUGGCUGAUCUACAAAAAACUAAUAGAAGCAACACUGCCAAAUAUUUAUUAUACAACAAGAAUGUAAGUUUUUUUCUCAUCAGGAUGAAAACUUCUACCUUGGGCGUUCAUGAACUUCCUCUAAGCCUUGAAAUUAAUGAGGAUCUACCCUUUACUGCAUGGGCCAAUGGAGAAAAAGUGAAUCAAAAUGAAUUCAGUCAUAUUUUCAAAAAGAAAACAUUCGAAACACUUUCAGAAGUCCUUAAUUUUGUUGCGUUUUAAACAAACCUAGAUCGUGAUGUACAAAAUAAUUUUGAAGUGCUUAAAAUUGCAGGGAAGAUUAUAGAAAACAUAAUUCCAGAUUUGGAAGAGAAAGAGCAAAAAAAAGUUGUCACUUUUUAAUGAACAAAUUCACCUAUGUCUUUUACCUAGCAAGCGAAGGCAGUAUUCAUCAAACAUACUAACGAUGACCUCAAUUUGGCAAACAACCACGCCAACUCUGUACUGUCAACGAGAAGAUCUUCUCUCUAUUCCAAGAGAACGCCAUUUAAAUUUUUUGACAAGUUCCUUGUCUAUUUACCCUGGAUUAGAGGAGUGAACGAUUAAUUAUUUGGGUGCACGGAUUAGAAAUUUGUCUGAAAAUGAAAGAAAAGUUUGUCUCAUGAUUGAUGAAGUCUAUUGUGGGAAAAGAGUAGAAUAUGCAGUAGGGAGAAUAUAUGGAAUUGAGGAAGGCUUUCCUUCGAAAACAAUUUCAUGUUUUAUAAUUCCAUUCCUCUUUCUUGGCUUUCAAGACAUGGUUGCCAUGUUCCUCAUCAAUAAAAUAUACGCGAACUUUUUGGAAAAGCAUUUAAAAAGUGCUAAAAGUUUUUGCAAAAAAAGAAACAGGGGAAGCCCAAAAUCCUAUGGUAAUGGACAAAUAGGUCUAUCAUAUCAACUGCUAUUUAUCCCUUAAGUAAUUCCAGACUAUCAUCGUAAUAUUAUUUCUAGCCGACUUUUAUAAUGAAUAACACAUAUAAAUAUUUCGUAUAUCCUACAUAGUAUUUUUUUGAUACUAAAUUAUAAAAUUGCUUAGUAAUAUAUUAUUUAUUAACUUUUGUUGUAAACAAAUCCAUAUAAUUGGGCCUUUCAUUGCCUUGCUAAAAUUAUAACAAGGGGUUUCAAAUACAUUGCCCAAUAAUAUUAAAAAUUUACUAAGAAUCGAUGCAAGCUCCACAUUAAUGACAUAUUAAACUAUUAA